CACCCGGUCAUGUCAAGCACAGCCCCUGCCCUCCUGGGUUUCCUAGAGCUUCUUUCUAAGGAUGAAAACAGCCGAUCAACACGUGCUUUGCUGUGUGAACGUCAGGAGGCGGCAGGGAAUGAGAAAAAAGCCAAACAAUCUAUUAACUCAUCAAUACAGAAGCCCGCCAAUCUGUCCAUCACCCGGCCGCCGUCGAUAACUCCAUCUCGGCGCUGACAAGGCGGGAGAGGAGAAGGAAAAUGAAAUAUUUAUAAUUUCUUAAGGGACGAAGGCCUUCCCCAAGGUGGUGUUCUCCGCUCUGAGCACAGAAGAUUUCCAUCACAGAGCAAUCUCCCGGACUCCUGUCGCAAGCUUGGUGGGACAGAGCCACCCAACGCCCUCCAUGUCCUCAUCUGGAGCUAGAUUUGGGCAUCAGAGUUACAGGAUGCCUUGGAGCCACGCCCACGCUGCUGCCAACUCAGCGGUCCAUCACCGGAUGCCUGCCCGUGACCGGCUAAUCCAGGUUGCUGACUGCACGGUGCCUUUAGUUUGCAUAAACAACACGGCCAACACGUCGUGCUCUCUUUCUUACUUUCGCACACAUCAUAUGGUAGCUCCCCCUUAUGCAUGGGGGGAUUCCAAGAGCCCCAGUGGA